rnacentral:tRNA from 1 species
GCCCGGGUAGCUCAAUCGGUAGAGCGUGUGGCUCUUAAGCAGUUAAAUAAGUCAACCUCAAGGUCGUGGGUUCGAGCCCCACCUCGGGCU